GAUCCUGGCUCAGGACGAACGCUGGCGGCGUGCUUAACACAUGCAAGUCGAACGAGAAUCUGUGGAAAGAGGAUUCGUCCAAUUGAAACAGAGGACAGUGGCGGACGGGUGAGUAACGCGUGAGGAACCUGCCUUUCAGAGGGGGGACAACAGUUGGAAACGACUGCUAAUACCGCAUGACACAUUGAGGUCGCAUCGCCUUGAUGUCAAAGAUUUAUCGCUGAAAGAUGG
rnacentral:rRNA from 1 species